rnacentral:rRNA from 1 species
GACGAACGCUGGCGGCGUGCUUAACACAUGCAAGUCGAACGGAAAGGCCCUGCUUUUGUGGGGUGCUCGAGUGGCGAACGGGUGAGUAACACGUGAGUAACCUGCCCUUGACUUUGGGAUAACUUCAGGAAACUGGGGCUAAUACCGGAUAGGAGCUCCUGCUGCAUGGUGGGGGUUGGAAAUUUUCGGCGGUUGGGGAUGGACUCGCGGCUUAUCAGCUUGUUGGUGGGGUAGUGGCUUACCAAGGCUUUGACGGGUAGCCGGCCUGAGAGGGUGACCGGCCACAUUGGGACUGAGCUACGGCCCAGACUCCUACGGGAGGCAGCAGUGGGGAAUAUUGCACAAUGGGCGGAAGCCUGAUGCAGCAACGCCGCGUGCGGGAUGACGGCCUUCGGGUUGUAAACCGCUUUCGCCUGUGACGAAGCGUGAGUGACGGUAAUGGGUAAAGAAGCACCGGCUAACUACGUG